UACGAAGGGGGCUAGCGUUGUUCGGAUUUACUGGGCGUAAAGCGCGCGUAGGCGGAUCUUUAAGUCAGAGGUGAAAUCCCAAGGCUCAACCUUGGAACUGCCUUUGAUACUGGAGAUCUUGAGUCCGGGAGAGGUGAGUGGAACUGCGAGUGUAGAGGUGAAAUUCGUAGAUAUUCGCAAGAACACCAGUGGCGAAGGCGGCUCACUGGACCGGUAUUGACGCUGAGGUGCGAAAGCGUGGGGAGCAAACAGG
rnacentral:rRNA from 1 species